CUAUCAAUAAAAAAUAGUUGAAUGAGGAUAGAACUCUUUCGCAUGCAUGUGUUGCCGAGGGCAAGCUUCUUUCUUGUAGCAUCACGGGGAGGCAUUGCAGGAGAGAGGGGCAGGUGCACUGGCUUUGCAUUAGGAAAGCCCAGUAGCUCUUAGACUUGCUAACCGUGUGACCCAGCCUCAGUAAGCUUUAGUCCCCCCAUCUGUAAAAUGGGAGCAGUGAGAGUUUCUUGACCACAGUGUUGUUGUGAAUGCAGGUCCUCACUUCCUUAUAUGAAAC
rnacentral:lncRNA from 1 species